UGAAGAUAUGACCUUUGGCUGAAGACUAGAAACAAUGCAACACAUGAAAGAGUUCUUUGAAACUAUGGCUGCGCUGCCUUUAAUAUUGAAAUUAACUGAGACAUUGCAUACUACAUUAUGUCAUGUAGACAGCCCCAAGACCCAGUCACAGACCCAAGCACAGACACUAAGGUUUUUGUUCUCAGAGUUCAUAUGGGCCUACAGAGCAUCCACCUAUUCAGAGCACAUUCAUGGAACACAUCAGGUCUAAUGGUUUUGGGUUCCUGCUUGGGCUGAAUUCAAAGUGAUAAACAUCACCAUGUACAGGUGAGAUUUUGGGGAAAAUAUCAAAGAUAAAUUAGCCUCAUUUCGUAGACAAAGCAAACUAGACUAACAAAUCUGUUCUGGUUGGUGGUUGGAAGCCAGGAGUGUUUCUGAG
rnacentral:lncRNA from 1 species